rnacentral:rRNA from 1 species
AUUGAACGCUGGCGGCAGGCCUAACACAUGCAAGUCGAGCGGAUGAAGGGAGCUUGCUCCUGGAUUCAGCGGCGGACGGGUGAGUAAUGCCUAGGAAUCUGCCUGGUAGUGGGGGAUAACGUCCGGAAACUGGCGCUAAUACCGCAUACGUCCUGAGGGAGAAAGUGGGGGAUCUUCGGACCUCACGCUAUCCGAUGAGCCUAGGUCGGAUUAGCUAGUUGGUGGGGUAAAGGCCUACCAAGGCGACGAUCCGUAACUGGUCUGAGAGGAUGAUCAGUCACACUGGAACUGAGAAACGGUCCAGACUCCUACGGGAGGCAGCAGUGGGGAAUAUUGGACAAUGGGCGAAAGCCUGAUCCAGCCAUGCCGCGUGUGGGAAGCAGGUCUUCGGAUUGUAAAGCACUUUAAGUUGGGAGGAAGGGCAGUAAGUUAAUACCUUGCUGUUUUGACGUUACCAAAAGAAUAAGCACCGGCUAACUUCGUG